rnacentral:rRNA from 1 species
AAUAGAUACCCGGGUAGUCCUGGCCCUAAACGAUGUCCACUAGAUCGCGGCGCCUUUGACGGCGUCGCGGUCGAAGCAAAAGUGUUAAGUGGACCGCCUGGGAAGUACGGUCGCAAGGCUAAAACUCAAAGGAAUUGACGGGGGCUCACACAAGCGGUGGAGCAUGUGGUUCAAUUCGAAGCAACGCGCAGAACCUUACCUGGGCUUGACAUGCUCGGAUUACCCCGGUGAAAGCCGGGUAGGCCCCGCAAGGGGUACAACGAGUACAGGUGCUGCAUGGCUGUCGUCAGCUCGUGUCGUGAGAUUUCGGGUUAAGUCCCUUAACGAGCGAAACCUUUACCCUUAGUUACCAGCGGGUUAUGCCGGGGACUCUAAGGGGACCGCCGGUGUCAAACCGGAGGAAGGUGGAGAUGACGUCAAGUCCUCAUGGCCUUUAUGCCCAGGGGCCACACACGUGCUACAAUGGCGUCGACAAAGCGACCCUAAAGCGCGAGCUCAUGGAAAUCGCAGAAACGACGCCCCAGUUCAGAUCGGAGGCUGCAACUCGCCUCGUG